GACGAACGCUGGCGGCGUGCCUAAUACAUGCAAGUAGAACGCUGAAGAGAGGAGCUUGCUCUUCUUGGAUGAGUUGCGAACGGGUGAGUAACGCGUAGGUAACCUGCCUUGUAGCGGGGGAUAACUAUUGGAAACGAUAGCUAAUACCGCAUAACAAUGGAUGACACAUGUCAUUUAUUUGAAAGGGGCAAUUGCUCCACUACAAGAUGGACCUGCGUUGUAUUAGCUAGUAGGUGAGGUAACGGCUCACCUAGGCGACGAUACAUAGCCGACCUGAGAGGGUGAUCAGCCACACUGGGACUGAGACACGGCCCAGACUCCUACGGGAGGCAGCAGUAGGGAAUCUUCGGCAAUGGGGGCAACCCUGACCGAGCAACGCCGCGUGAGUGAAGAAGGUUUUCGGAUCGUAAAGCUCUGUUGUAAGUCAAGAACGAGUGUGAGAGUGGAAAGUUCACACUGUGACGGUAGCUUACCAGAAAGGGACGGCUAACUACGUG
rnacentral:rRNA from 1 species